UAGGGAAUCUUCGGCAAUGGACGAACGUCUGACCGAGCAACGCCGCGUGAGUGAAGAAGGUUUUCGGAUCGUAAAACUCUGUUGUUAGAGAAGAACAAGGACGUUAGUAACUGAACGUCCCCUGACGGUAUCUAACCAGAAAGCCACGGCUAACUACGUGCCAGCAGCCGCGGUAAUACGUAGGUGGCAAGCGUUGUCCGGAUUUAUUGGGCGUAAAGCGAGCGCAGGCGGUUUCUUAAGUCUGAUGUGAAAGCCCCCGGCUCAACCGGGGAGGGUCAUUGGAAACUGGGAGACUUGAGUGCAGAAGAGGAGAGUGGAAUUCCAUGUGUAGCGGUGAAAUGCGUAGAUAUAUGGAGGAAUACCGGUGGCGAAGGCGGCCCCCUGGACAAAGACUGACGCUCAGGUGCGAAAGCGUGGGGGGCAAACAGG
rnacentral:rRNA from 1 species